UACGUAGGGGGCAAGCGUUGUCCGGAAUCAUUGGGCGUAAAGAGCGUGUAGGCGGCUCGAUAAGUCUGCUGUGAAAGUCCAGGGCUCAACCCUGGAAGGCCGGUGGAAACUGUCGGGCUAGAGUCCGGAAGAGGCGAGUGGAAUUCCCGGUGUAGCGGUGAAAUGCGCAGAUAUCAGGAGGAACACCAAUGGCGAAGGCAGCUCGCUGGAACGGUACUGACGCUGAGGCGCGAAAGCGUGGGGAGCAAACAGG
rnacentral:rRNA from 1 species